GCCAAUGUGGUGUAGUGCUUUGAAUGCUGGACCGCAACUCUGGAGAUCAGGGUUCAAUUCCCUUCUCAGCCA